rnacentral:lncRNA from 1 species
UUCCCCUCCCCUUCUACCUCCUCCUCGGCCAGCUCAGGUUGCAGCUUCUCUGGGGAACUGCUCACCUUUCCGGAGCAGGGGAAGCUGCCCCGUGCCCGGGAGGGAGCGGGCGCACCGCGGCCCCCAGGACACGCGCUCUUGCAGCUCGGUCCUCUUGGCAGAGACCCCCCGCAGGAGUGCAGCACCUUCUCCCCAACAGACAGCGGGGAGGAGCCGGGGCAGCUCUCCCCUGGCGUGCAGUUCCAGCGGCGGCAGAACCAGCGCCGCUUCUCCAUGGAGGUAAGGGCCUCUGGAGCUCUGCCCCGGCAGGUGGCAGGAUGCACGCACAAGGGUGUGCACA